rnacentral:rRNA from 1 species
CUACGUGCCAGCAGCCGCGGUAAUACGUAGGUGGCAAGCGUUGUCCGGAAUUAUUGGGCGUAAAGCGCGCGCAGGCGGAUUGGUCAGUCUGUCUUAAAAGUUCGGGGCUUAACCCCGUGAUGGGAUGGAAACUGCCAAUCUAGAGUAUCGGAGAGGAAAGUGGAAUUCCUAGUGUAGCGGUGAAAUGCGUAGAUAUUAGGAAGAACACCAGUGGCGAAGGCGACUUUCUGGACGAAAACUGACGCUGAGGCGCGAAAGCCAGGGGAGCGAACGGGAUUAGAUACCCCGGUAGUCCUGGCCGUAAACGAUGGGUACUAGGUGUAGGAGGUAUCGACCCCUUCUGUGCCGGAGUUAACGCAAUAAGUACCCCGCCUGGGGAGUACGACCGCAAGGCUAAAACUCAAAGAAAUUGACGGGGGCCCGCACAAGCGGCGGAGCAUGCGGAUUAAUUCGAUGCAACGCGAAGAACCUUACCAAGGCU